ACAAUUGAAGUUACUCAAUUACUGAAAGAAAAAAGGAAGAUGAUUUGCUGUAUCACCAACGUUUACGGCAAGAGUCCUAACCUUAUCAAUUUGUCUCUUUCAUUUAAGGUUUGGACUCAUAUUAGCUUUCAGUUUUUUUU
rnacentral:sRNA from 1 species